GCCGGUGGGAGGUACAGAGACGAUCCCGCGCUGAAAGCUAGAGGAGCGCCGGCGGCGGCCGUCGCUGUGGCGAUUUUACCCGCACCCGGACCCUCGCGCGGUAGCGCUGCGCGCGCACAGCUGUCAGGCUGCGGUCUAGAGGGAGAGCCUGCGGGAGGCGGCUGUGCCCAGUCAGUCAGGGGCGGAAACCUGAAGCGAAGCUAUCAUGACGACCUCUGGGGCGUUUUCGGCAACCCGGCCGCGGGGCCGCGGGAGGAGGCAGUGAUCCGGUUUGUUAUCACACCGGUGGCGCUUCUGCUGAGCGCAAGGCUCAGCGCACUGGACAGACACGUCCCCGCCCUGCGGUCCUUGGUGCUCAGCUGCUGCUGCUGCUAAGUCACUUCAGUCGUGUCCGACUCUGUGCGACCCCAUAGACGGCAGCCCAGGCUCCCCCGUCCCUGGGAUUCUCCAGGCAAGAACCAGUCUCUGCAGAAGCUGGGGCAGACGAGCCAGGAGGGACCUGAGAGCUGCAUGCCGCUCACUGGGCAUGGAUAUUUCCACUCUAGUGGCCAUGAAAAACUCCACAUUGGAUAUGGGACUUUUCCAAGGAAUCUUCCAGAAAAUUUUCUCGUUUUUAUUUUUAAUAAUAGGUUUCUUGCAAUGUAAUCUAAACACAAUAGGUUUCUUGAAAUGUAAUCUAAACACAUUCAUACAAUUUGCCCAGAGUCUACAAUUCAUUUUGUUGUUAAUAUGAUCAUAUAGUUAUGCAACCAUCACCACCAAUUCCAGAACAUUUUCAAGAAGCCCCAUCCUGAUCCAAGUCAUGUCCCAUUUCUCCUUCCCCUUAAUCCCUGGCAACCAUGUCUACUGUUUGUCUCUGUGGAUUCACUAUUGUGGGCAUUUCAUACCAAUAAAAUCAUACAUAUGCAGAGAUCCACCCUUUACAACAGCAGCCUGUGGAUUGUGCUUCCCAGCCAGUGGAGCCAACUCAGCCAUGCAUGUGAACUCUGGAGCCAAAGAGAUGAGGGUGUGAAUCCUACUUCCAUUGUAGCCUUGUUCUUUGCCCUUCUGAAACUCACUCUUCACUUGGGGAAUGG
ensembl:lncRNA